UGGGGAAUUUUGGACAAUGGGCGAAAGCCUGAUCCAGCAAUGCCGCGUGUGUGAAGAAGGCCUUCGGGUUGUAAAGCACUUUUGUCCGGAAAGAAAUCCUCUGGGUUAAUACCUCGGGGGGAUGACGGUACCGGAAGAAUAAGCACCGGCUAACUACGUGCCAGCAGCCGCGGUAAUACGUAGGGUGCAAGCGUUAAUCGGAAUUACUGGGCGUAAAGCGUGCGCAGGCGGUUUUGUAAGACGGAUGUGAAAUCCCCGGGCUUAACCUGGGAACUGCAUUCGUGACUGCAAGGCUAGAGUAUGGCAGAGGGGGGUUAGAAUUCCACGUGUAGCAGUGAAAUGCGUAGAGAUGUGGAGGAAUACCGAUGGCGAAGGCAGCCCCCUGGGCCAAUACUGACGCUCAUGCACGAAAGCGUGGGGAGCAAACAGGAUUAGAUACCCUGGUAGUCCACGCCCUAAACGAUGUCAACUAGUUGUUGGGGAUUCAUUUCCUUAGUAACGUAGCUAACGCGUGAAGUUGACCGCCUGGGGAGUACGGUCGCAAGAUUAAAACUUAAAUGAAUUGACGGGG
rnacentral:rRNA from 1 species